rfam:Felis catus isolate Cinnamon breed Abyssinian chromosome E3, whole genome shotgun sequence.
GCCCGGGUGGCUCAGUUGGUUAAGCAUCUGACUUCGGCUCAGGUCAUGAUCUCACAACUCGUGGGUUCGAGCCCUGCGUCGGGCU